AGAGUUUGAUCAUGGCUCAGAACGAACGCUGGCGGCGUGCCUAACACAUGCAAGUCGAACGAGAAUUACUCUUCGGAGUAAGGAAAGUGGCGCACGGGUGAGUAACGCGUGGGUAAUCUGCCCUUUGGUUGGGGACAACAGUUUGAAAGAACUGCUAAUACCGAAUAAGUCGGUCACCUCUGCGGAGGGGAUCGGGAAAGAUUUAUCGCCGAAGGAUGAGCCCGCGUAUCAUUAGGUAGUUGGUGAGGUAAUGGCUCACCAAGCCAAAGAUGAUUAGCUGGUCUGAGAGGAUGAUCAGCCACACUGGGACUGAGACACGGCCCAGACUCCUACGGGAGGCAGCAGUGGGGAAUAUUGCGCAAUGGACGAAAGUCUGACGCAGCAACGCCGCGUGAGUGAAGAAGGCCUUCGGGUUGUAAAGCUCUGUUAAGAUAGAAAGAAAAAACCUUCGGGUCCUGACGGUACUAUCUCAGGAAGCACCGGCUAACUCCGUGCCAGCAGCCGCGGUAAUACGGAGGGUGCAAGCGUUGUUCGGAAUUAUUGGGCGUAAAGCGUGCGUAGGCGGAUUAUUAAGUCUGAUGUGAAAUCCUGCGGCUCAACCGCAGACGUGCAUUGGAUACUGGUAGUCUUGAGUCCCGGAGAGGAGAGCGGAAUUCCUAGUGUAGAGGUGAAAUUCGUAGAUAUUAGGAGGAACACCAGUGGCGAAAGCGGCUCUCUGGGCGGUGACUGACGCUGANGCACGAAAGCAUAGGUAGCAAACAGGAUUAGAUACCCUGGUAGUCUAUGCCGUAAACGAUGGGCACUAGUCGGUGCGGGUAUUGACCCCUGCGCUGACGAA
rnacentral:rRNA from 1 species